rnacentral:rRNA from 1 species
UGGGCGUUGGAUGAUUGAAGGGAGUUGCUCCUAGUACGAGAGGACCGGAGUGAACGAACCUCUGGUGUUCGGGUUGUCACGCCAGUGGCACUGCCCGGUAGCUAAGUUCGGAAUCGAUAACCGCUGAAAGCAUCUAAGCGGGAAGCGAGCCCUGAGAUGAGUCAUCCCUGACCCCUUGAGGGUCCUAAAGGGCCGUUGGAGACCACAACGUUGAUAGGUGGGGUGUGUAAGCGCAGUGAUGUGUUGAGCUAACCCAUACUAAUUACCCGUGAGGCUUAACCAUACAACACCCAAGAAGUGUUCUG